rnacentral:rRNA from 1 species
UACGGAGGGGACUAGCGUUGUUCGGAAUUAUUGGGCGUAAAGGGCGCGUAGGCGGCUAGAUGUGUCAAAGGUGAAAUCCCUCGGCUCAACUGAGGAACUGCCUUUGAAACUGUCUGGCUUGAGGCCGGGAGAGGGUAGCGGAAUUCCCGGUGUAGCGGUGAAAUGCGUAGAUAUUGGGAGGAACACCAGCGGCGAAGGCGGCUACCUGGACCGGUUCUGACGCUGAGGCGCGAAAGCGUGGGUAGCAAACAGG